GGGGAGAGAAGUGUUGGCAGUGUGAGCUGUUAUACAUAGCUGGGCAGCAGCUUCUUCAGUGCAGAUGUGAAAUGGCUGCAUGAGCUGGAGAUGCUGCAUGGAAAUGGAACCUCUUUGCCACAGCUGUAUGCUAUCCAUGGUAAGCGUGAGAACUGCAGAUAAUGCCACCUCCAUUAACUUACCACUGACAAGGACAAGACACGUAGUUGAAUAUUCUCUUCACUCC